rnacentral:ncRNA from 1 species
AGUUCUCAGGGCGGGGUGAAAGUCCCCACCGGCGGUGAUGCGGCCUUUAAAUCGGGCGGCUAAGCCCGCGAGCGCUCAAACAAGCCCAUGUUUGAGGUCAGCAGAUUCGGUGAGAAACCGAAGCCGACGGUGAUAGUCCGGAUGAAAGAGAACG